GGGAGGCAGCGCUGCGCCUCCGGUCCCGGGCUGAGCCAGCCAGGACGGGGCUCCCGCCCCGACCGGCCUCGUCAGGCCGAUGAGGGAGAGAAAAGCCUUAGCUAGACCAAAAGAUGUGACUGGGGGAAGCGACAGGCUUUUGGCUACCCAAGAUCAUGUUCAUGUCUGACCUUCUGCUCUGGAGAUUUGUGAGUCCCAAAUCAUGUCUAUAGACUACCUGUGUUACUUGGUUUAUCAAAAGCUUGUAUCUCUCUCUAGAAAGCUUGGCUUGCCUUAGAUCAUCACCUAACAACAACAAUGCUACUACUUGUUCCUUUGACGGCUGGCAUUGAUUUUUACUGACAGCAAAAUAAUAGGCUUUUCACAUUCCUGAUCUGAGUUGAAGAACAAAUUUGGGGUUUUGUAAAGCAUGGUUAUUGUUAACCCUGUAAAAUCUAAUGUUGACUUCCAAAAAGAAGAUUUAAAGAUGUGGAUGUGAAAAAACAUUCUGGCUCUGCAACAGUAAAGGGCUUUUACCCUCCAACACUCACUUGCUAUGGGAGGAAUUUAAAUGGCAGUGUACUCACUCACAGUACAGAUGAGGCACCUAGUAAUGUUUGCCCUUGUGGAUUGUCCAGCCCUUGUUCCCCUGUGUUGACAUGCUUCUAUACAUUCUCCAUCUCCACUUUCCUACCUGGGGCAGACACCAGGACUUUCUCCUUUGCAGCAACAGACACAUUUGAAUCAGUUUACACAUAAGACAUCUACAAGUCACAAGGCUGAUUCUUACAAUAGACAGAGAGUGGGAAAUAAAAGAAAACAAAAAGCUUUCUUGGAAGAGGAAGAGGACUGACAGAUGGAAUGACCAGAAAGUAAUUUACUCUUUGGUGUGAGGAUGCAAUUUAUGGCAUAACAAGAACUUCCUACCACUCAAUAUCUUGUCUAACGUGAGUGAAACAAAGGUGUCAAUGACAGGCAGAAUGAGACAUGAGAGAGUUAGAGACUAACCCUCAUGUGGGUCUGGUAACAGCUGUCAUCUGAGCAGAGCAUAUCCUGGAUGGGCUCACAUCCAGCUGGUACUGCUGGCUAAACAUGUUUUGUGCUCUCUUAACAGCUUCUUUACACAUUUCAAAGGACAGAUUACUCAACAUUCAAUUCACUGCUUCUGGAGGAAUGAAUGGACCACUGACUCCCAGGAUAUGAGAAUGCUCAUCUUGGACAUAAACUAGACAAAUGUAUUCCUUUUAAUUAUCUAGCAAUGAUAGCAGUGAUGAGUAAUUAUCAGCAGUAUGAUAAACUAUCCUUCUAAAUAUCUAUGUUGCCACUGGGGUUGAAGUGAUUGAGGACUAAGACACUACAGUAUUAUAAAAUAGAUGUAUGUUUUGCAUUGUCCUGUGUAGUCCAGAUGAGCUGUGCUUUGUUUUGCCUUUGCCAGUUUUUCUUUCUCCAUGGGGCAAUUCUAGUACAUGCCUCCUCUGCCCCAGCUCAGGAAAGGCAGAGGGUUGAGAAGAGAGCUGUGCUUCCACCCAGUAGCAGCUAGUGGAUUUACCACAUCUCCUUGGAAAAGUGCUGAAACAGAGUAGAACUGCCUUAUCUGUGGGUUCCCAGGAAAGAGACAGGAGAAGGUAUUGUGGGGGGAAAGGAAUACACUUCCCAGAAAUGGAGAGUGGAAGAAAACCUUCUAGUCCCACCUCAUACUGUUGCCUUCACUGCAGUUUAUUGUCCUCCGACAAGGACAUGAAGCCCCAUGGGUGUAUUGGAACGAUUUAUCUCUAUUAGUAUUCUGAAAAUUCACAUGGCCAUUAAUGAAUGACAGCCUUGGAAGUAUAAGAAUCAGUGUUAUAAAGUUCAAGACUGUGGAAGAGGAUGUUUAUAUUUGUUUUAAAUGAAACUGAUUUCAGUCACUUGCACUCAUUCACUCCUAUUUCACACAUUCACUCAUAGUCAUAAGCACCAAGAUGUGUGUGUGUGUGAUCUGCUCAGGACUCUGUGUAUGUGUGUGUGACACAGAGGACAGGGGACAGCAGCUCCUGAGUCCUUGGGAUGCCUCUUAGGUUUGUCUUGAUCAGGCAGAACACAGCACAAUUUUGACAAGCUAUUUUAUGACCCCUGGGAGUCAAGAUGUCAUGGCAUGACUGUGACCUUAGUUUUGCAUUUUUCAUCCUCCCUAAUUCUUAGGCAAGGUUACUGCCCAUCAUCUUUGUUUUCUCAUUUUGGGUAUCUUUAUUGCUGCCUUCCUGUUGAGAGAAAAGGGAUGGGCCAUCUGUGAUGUGAUUCUGUCUGAGCACAGACCUUCUGGUCUUGAUGUAUGCAUAUUCCUUAUUACCUACUUUAUUGCUGUUGCUUCUACCCUUGUUAAAAAAUAUGUACCAUAUUUUUAAGCCUUGGUUUUUAUUGUAUCACUAUAAAGAUAAAAAAUAUCAGAGUAAGUAGUGAUUCAAACAAGCCUAUGGAUUAAAAAGAAUACCUCAAGAAUAUAUAAAGACUUUUGCAAACCAAUUUAUAGUGGGACAGUGUAAGGCUAAAAGAAAUAAACCUCUGUGGCACAUGUGUCAAAAAUCCUGCAUUGGGCUGCUGCUGUUUACUUAUUUGUUAUGAACCUGGAUAUGGAAUAAUCAGAUCUUAGCAGGUGUUAUCUCUCGAUUUACAGUCAAGUCUCUCAACAGCAAAGGACAUCAUUAAUGACUAUCAAGAGUGAAUAACUAAAACGAUUUUUUUGAGGCCCAACCUGCAAAUACUGUUCUUGGAAAUGAAGGGAUUCAGUGAGUUUUGUUUUGGUUUGUUUCUUUUCAUGGUCUGGGUUUCGGUGAUUCUGAAUAUCCUACUUAAGAGAUAUAUGUGCACCAUUUCCCUUAGAAGAAUUUAAAGCUUGAGCCUUGAGGGUCAUUGAUCAUA